CAGCCGCCGCGGUAAUACGAAGGGGGCUAGCGUUGCUCGGAUUUACUGGGCGUAAAGGGCGCGUAGGCGGACAGUUUAGUCAGUGGUGAAAGCCCGGGGCUCAACCUCGGAAUUGCCUUUGAUACUGGCUGUCUUGAGUACGGGAGAGGUGUGUGGAACUCCGAGUGUAGAGGUGAAAUUCGUAGAUAUUCGGAAGAACACCAGUGGCGAAGGCGACACACUGGCCCGUUACUGACGCUGAGGCGCGAAAGCGUGGGGAGCAAACAGGAUUAGAUACCCGUGUAGUCCCUGUCUCUUAUAC
rnacentral:rRNA from 1 species